GUCGUUUCUCUUCGCCAGUCUACAAGCACUAAUUUUAGUUGGUAUUUCAAGGGAAGAUGGGCGAUUCCGAACAAUCCUCUGUCCCCAGCAAUGAAGGCAGCGAUGCUGAGGCCAGUGAGGACGACCAACAGCCCACCGCCGCGUAUGGUUGGGGCAGGGAGCCCAGAUACUCUGCUGAGGAGCUGCCAUCGCGUGUAACAAAUGUGGAGGAAGAAGAUGCGUCAGCAGCUGCGUCUGACAGAAGACGAGUAGCUUGGCCACCAGAAUCUCGAUUCGUUUGGGACUCCGACUGGUGCGAGCGUGGACAAAAGUGUAUAGCCAUGCCCAGCCCGCGGGAAUGAUUUUGCUGGUAGGAUGCUGCCGUCGCUGUCGACAAGACGGCCCAAGGUUUCUUGCGUAGCGGACCUCGCAGAUUACGAGAUCGUAUCCUUGCAUUAGGCUGUGCUCAUCACUGCUCUUCGAGGUUAUCUCGACAUGCAGAAGCCGCCAAUGCCAGUGACAGAAGAGUCUGACAUUAGAUCUCUACGCUAUGCGGCACACAGGCAGUACACACUAUGUACACGGCAAAUUGGGCAAGCACGUUCGUUGUCGUCUUCCAGCCUGCGUUGUGAAUACCAUCAGGCAAAGAUAUCCAAAUCCUGCACCACCUCAGCCUUCUCAGGAGGCUUCCACCUGGAAUUUGGCAGGGAAACACGCUUCUCCAAGGCAGGAACAUGGAGGUUGCCAUUUGCAACCGCUACCACCUCACACAUGAGCUUGUCAACAUACUCAUAGCUCUUUCUGUCGUAUAAUUUUCUAUUUGGCCACAGUCUUCUUUAUGCUUUGAGAACUGGACUUUAUACCUUCC